AUUGAACGCUGGCGGCAUGCCUUACACAUGCAAGUCGAACGGUAACAGGUCUUCGGAUGCUGACGAGUGGCGAACGGGUGAGUAAUACAUCGGAACGUGCCUAGUAGUGGGGGAUAACUACUCGAAAGAGUGGCUAAUACCGCAUGAGAUCCACGGAUGAAAGCAGGGGAUCGCAAGACCUUGUGCUACUAGAGCGGCCGAUGGCAGAUUAGGUAGUUGGUGGGAUAAAAGCUUACCAAGCCGACGAUCUGUAGCUGGUCUGAGAGGACGAUCAGCCACACUGGGACUGAGACACGGCCCAGACUCCUACGGGAGGCAGCAGUGGGGAAUUUUGGACAAUGGGCGAAAGCCUGAUCCAGCAAUGCCGCGUGCAGGAUGAAGGCCUUCGGGUUGUAAGCUGCUUUUGUACGGAACGAAAAGCCCCGGGUUAAUACCCUGGGGUCAUGACGGUACCGUAAGAAUAAGCACCGGCUAACUACGUGCCAGCAGCCGCCGUAA
rnacentral:rRNA from 1 species